GUGAAAAAUUGGAACAAGAGGUUUGGCUAUUGUUAAUGCUGUAAAGUUACCCAUGUAUAUAUCCUGUAAAUUAAAGGCUAUUAAAUAAAAAAAAAAAAAAAGAGAGAGAAGGGACUGAGGAGGGGAAGAGGGACAGUGGGGGCCGGUCUCCGCGGGGAGGAAGGUCAGGGCCCAGGAUUGUGGGGGGUCUCAGGGCCGUUUUAGAGCUGAGGCAGCUGAGGCCCGGCGCUGACUGAAGGCCACAGGGCAGCCUUGCUGUCAGGGGCGCUGAGACUGGGCUGCUCCUCCACCAGAGCCUCCGCCUUGUCCCGGGGGUGUCUCGUGCCAAGGGGAUGCUAGAGAUGGAGCCGAGCUGGGGGAGGGGCCGGAACCUCGCCUCCAGGAACGGGUCAGCGGCCUGGGGCUCAGCGCCAGGAACAUCCUGCUUCCUUUUCUUACUUAGUCUGACCCUGGGCAGCUCAGUCAGUCCCUCCGCAGCAUCUGUUAAACCCGGUCUAGGCAAGAGCGGAAGGAGUCCAAGCCCGCCUGGCAUCAUGAAGCCCCUCGGAGAGCCCGGCCGGGACUAGCAGGCAGCCGGGAACGGGGAGCCAAGGCUGCCAAGCCAGCCUCAAGUCACCCGUCUUGGGCGCCCACGCUCCCCAGCCAUAUGGCCUCCGAUAUGGGGAAGGGCUCCUAACCCCGGGACCCGCACAUUGGGAAAGGAAUAAGGAAAGACAGAUGGCGGCCCCCAGAAGCCUGGGCCCGACGGCCGCCGCGCUCCUUGUCCUGCCAUCCGAGGUGACUCCAGCCGGGCCCGACUCGCUUCUGAGUUGGAUUUAGGGGCCGAAGCUGCGCGAAGUCACCGGCCUCGCUCCCCUCCAGCAACAUCGGCUGCCCGAGCCCAGAAGGGGGAAGGAGGCCCCCCAGCAUCGCCUGGGAAGCCCGGGGUCGGAGGGAGGGACGAAGGCCUGAGAAAUGGGACCAUUGUUAGGCCCUACUCGGAGUCAUUUGCUGCGGCUGCUGCCUUCCCGCCCCCCACAGCUCAGCUCCCUCGCGGGCCGGGGCCGGUCUCCUUCCCAGCAGCCUCCUGGAGCCAGCGCCUCUGCUCCCUUUCCUUCAGGCCCCGUCGCGUCACCCACGCUGGCAGCGCUCGGCAGGGGCUGAAGGGCAACCUCUCUACAACUCAAAGGGGGGGUUCUAAGACGGGGCUUGGUGUCCAACACUAGUGAGAAGCUCCCGCUCAGGGCUCGCAGAGCAUCUAAUGAGACCCGGGGGGGGUCGAGCCCCUGCCCAUGACCCUCCCUUGUCCCUCUUCUCCUCAGUCUUCCAAGAUCUAGAAAUACGAAUAAUAAUAAAAGAUGAAUAAUAAAAUGUUAUGAAUGUAUUCAAUAUGUAAAUUAUACGCGCACAUAU
rnacentral:lncRNA from 1 species